rnacentral:rRNA from 1 species
GCCGGCGACCGGCGCACGGGUGCGUAACGCGUAUGUAACCUACCUAUAACAGGGGCAUAACACUGAGAAAUUGGUACUAAUUCCCCAUAAUAUUCGGAGAGGCAUCUCUCCGGGUUGAAAACUCCGGUGGUUAUAGAUGGACAUGCGUUGUAUUAGCUAGUUGGUGAGGUAACGGCUCACCAAGGCAACGAUACAUAGGGGGACUGAGAGGUUAACCCCCCACACUGGUACUGAGACACGGACCAGACUCCUACGGGAGGCAGCAGUGAGGAAUAUUGGUCAAUGGACGCAAGUCUGAACCAGCCAUGCCGCGUGCAGGAAGACGGCUCUAUGAGUUGUAAACUGCUUUUGUACGAGGGUAAACUCACCUACGUGUAGGUGACUGAAAGUAUCGUACGAAUAAGGAUCGGCUAACUCCGUGCCAGCAGCCGCGGUAAUACGGAGGAUUCAAGCGUUAUCCGGAUUUAUUGGGUUUAAAGGGUGCGUAGGCGGUUUGAUAAGUUAGAGGUGAAAUCCCGGGGCUUAACUCCGGAACUGCCUCUAAUACUGUUAGACUAGAGAGUAGUUGCGGUAGGCGGAAUGUAUGGUGUAGCGGUGAAAUGCUUAGAGAUCAUACAGAACACCGAUUGCGGAAGGCAGCUUACCAAAC